UACAGAGGUCCCAAGCGUUGUUCGGAUUCACUGGGCGUAAAGGGUGCGUAGGCGGUUUGACAAGUCUGAUGUGAAAUCCCGCAGCUUAACUGCGGAACUGCAUUGGAAACUAUUUGACUAGAGGAAUGGAGGGGAGACUGGAAUACUUGGUGUAGCAGUGAAAUGCGUAGAUAUCAAGUGGAACACCAGUGGCGAAGGCGAGUCUCUGGACAUUUCCUGACGCUGAGGCACGAAAGCCAGGGGAGCAAACGG
rnacentral:rRNA from 1 species